CAACGCUGUUGUCCGCGUCUACCGCUGAGAAGGAAGACCUUGAGGAUACAGUUCAGCCCCUCGGCGGGGAGUGAGAAGGGAAAUGAAUAGAAAAUUGAUCUAUGAGAUUCCCGCUUCUUCUUGACUGUGGUGACUUGCAACUUCCUAGGAGCCAUAUCAAGAGGAAAAUGAGCAGAGCUCCCGCCACUAUGCCUGUCACUGCUCCUGCAACCAUGCCAAUGCUCUGCACAUCUGUUUCCUCGGAAGCACAGACAGAAGGAAAGUCAAACAGAAGCUCGGAGACACUCGAACUCCCAAGACAGAAGCCCCAGGCAGGAUGGCUCCCUGUGCCACACCCUGCUACCUUCUCAUAUUGUGACUUCACCUGGCCUUUCCAUAUUCUUGCAAGCCGAAGCUACUGAACCACUUGACUCGUUGGCUCAGAUUUUAGUGACUACGUCUGCCUUCGUGAUAAAAUGGCUGGGAAGAUUAUCGUGUCAUGUUCAAAGAAAAUUCCAACCCUCAGACCUCUGGGCACUGCUCUGCCCACUCCUUUCUCUAACUGCCCUUUUCUAUCAUCGGUAAAAGAAAAUAUAACCUACAGCCUACAAUUUGAUCUGUGACUGCUGGUGGCUCUGAGAGUCAGAGCUCAAGGUCAACAUUUUAUUUGCACAUAUACGUUCUCAUUUGGAUACAACACAUUCUAUAUAUUUAAGUGCCCACUUAAGCCAGCAGUUUUUGGUAUUGUAAGAGGCCAAUAGGAGCUCCUCUGAUUUCCAGUUUGCACCCCACGGGGCGGGGGGAAGGGAACAAUAAAGAACAGAUUCAAAUAAUUUCAGACCCUGGAUAUGUGGGGGCAAAAGUGGAUGACUGGCAGUUUGGAAGGAGAAUAGAGUUUGGGAAAGCAGGAUUGGGAAAAGGUGGUGCUUGGGUUGGAACACGAAAGACAGGACCCUCU
rnacentral:lncRNA from 1 species